GGGAGAACAAGCCAGUAAGCAGUACCCGCUCAUGAUCUCUGCACCACCUCCUGCCUCCAGGUUCCUGGCCUGCUUGAGUUCCCCCCUGGCUUCCCUGGAUGACAGACUACAACUUUGGCUGAGAGUCUCUAUUGCCAUGUAGUAGCCUGAAGCCAGGCAUGCUAGACAUUUCUCAACACUGCUGGAGAAAGAUCACCCCAUCUAGGCCUGGGAAACAGCUGUGAGACAUGGAAGAACAGGAAAGAGGAGUUAAAAUGGGUAUGACUAGCUGGAAGGCUUUCCAAACCACGAGUGGCUGUAGCCAGUAAGAGAUCCUGCACCAAGCAAAAUGGAGUGAAACAAAGUAUUGGGAUGUAAACUCUCAGCUACAGUUCCAGUGCCAUGCCAUGCCUGCCUGCCUGCCUGCCUGCCUGCCUGCCUGCCUGCCUGCCUGCCUGCCACCACCCUCCCCACCUUGAUGGUAUCAGUUAACUCUCUGGAACUGUAUGCAUCACCCAAUUAAAUGCCUUCCUUGAAAAGAA
rnacentral:lncRNA from 1 species